rnacentral:rRNA from 1 species
UACGUAGGGUGCGAGCGUUGUCCGGAAUUAUUGGGCGUAAAGAGCUCGUAGGCGGUCUGUCACGUCGAUCGUGAAAACUUGGGGCUUAACCCUGAGCGUGCGGUCGAUACGGGCAUGACUUGAGUUCGGCAGGGGAGACUGGAAUUCCUGGUGUAGCGGUGAAAUGCGCAGAUAUCAGGAGGAACACCGGUGGCGAAGGCGGGUCUCUGGGCCGAUACUGACGCUGAGGAGCGAAAGCGUGGGGAGCGAACAGGA